UACAGAGGGUGCGAGCGUUGUCCGGAAUCACUGGGCGUAAAGCGUAUGUAGGCGGAUUGUUAAGUCAGGGGUGAAAUCCCGAGGCUCAACCUCGGAACUGCCUUUGAUACUGGCUGUCUUGAGUCCGGGAGAGGUGAGUGGAACUCCUAGUGUAGAGGUGAAAUUCGUAGAUAUCGGGAGGAACACCAGUGGCGAAGGCGGCGAUCUGGGCAGAUACUGACGCUGAGGUGCGAAAGCGUGGGGAGCAAACAGG
rnacentral:rRNA from 1 species